CUACGGGGGGCUGCAGUGGGGAAUAUUGCACAAUGGGCGCAAGCCUGAUGCAGCCAUGCCGCGUGUAUGAAGAAGGCCUUCGGGUUGUAAAGUACUUUCAGCGGGGGGAAGGGAGUAAAGUUAAUACCUUUGCUCAUUGACGUUACCCGCAGAAGAAGCACCGGCUAACUCCGUGCCAGCAGCCGCGGUAAUACGGAGGGUGCAAGCGUUAAUCGGAAUUACUGGGCGUAAAGCGCACGCAGGCGGUUUGUUAAGUCAGAUGUGAAAUCCCCGGGCUCAACCUGGGAACUGCAUCUGGUACUGGCAAGCUUGAGUCUCGUAGAGGGGGGUAGAAUUCCAGGUGUAGCGGUGAAAUGCGUAGAGAUCUGGAGGAAUACCGGUGGCGAAGGCGGCCCCCUGGACGAAGACUGACGCUCAGGUGCGAAAGCGUGGGGAGCAAACAGGAUUAGAUACCCUAGUAGUC
rnacentral:rRNA from 1 species